UUGAAAGGGAAACGAUUGAAGUCAGUCGUACCUGCGGGUAAUCAGCCUUUUGGGCAUGAUUCUGUGGAGCGUGAGGAGUUAAACGCCUUCAUGCCUGCAUAUUCGUGUACUUUGGGUGUACUUGCCUGUGUGGUUAGUUAACAUCAAUUUUGGUUAUCAUAAAAUGGCUGGAGGAAUGUAGCUUCGAUUUCGAUUGAAGUGUUAUAGACUUCGGCAGAUGUGAUGAUCGGGAUUGAGGAUUGCAACGGAUACCCUUCGGGGCUACCUGUCUGAUCUCUGAUCGUUGCUCUGGUGCCGAAAGCGUGCUUACGGUUAUCAAAGUCGAUGGUUAAUAGGUUAGAAUGGGUUAAAUUCGUUAAGGAUGUUGACGUA
rnacentral:rRNA from 1 species